GAUGAACGCUGGCGGCGUGCCUAACACAUGCAAGUCGUACGAAAAAGAAAUUUUUAGUGGCAAACGGGUGAGUAACGCGUGAGAAUUUACUCUUAUGGUAGAGGAUAGCUUUUAGAAAUAUUAGCUAAAACUCUAUAUGCUUUUAAUAAGUGAAAAAAGAAAUUUGCCUAAGAAAAAGCUCGCGUCUGAUUAGCUAGUUGGUAGGGUAAAGGCCUACCAAGGCGAUGAUCAGUAGCUGGUCUGAGAGGAUGAUCAGCCACACUGGAACUGAGACACGGUCCAGACUCCUACGGGAGGCAGCAGUGAGGAAUUUUCUGCAAUGGGCGAAAGCCUGACAGAGCAACGCCGCGUGAGGGAAGAAGGCCUUCGGGUUGUAAACCUCUUUUCUCAAGGAGGAAGAUCUGACGUUACUUGAGGAAUAAGCAUCGGCCAACCCUGUGCCAGCAGCCGCAGUAA
rnacentral:rRNA from 1 species